CUUUCCCUUCCGGAAAUAACUUGUUUGCUAAGCUCAUUUCUUCUAGGAAUGACUUUCUCUAUCUCUGUGAUUUACCCAGUAAAUGUUCUCUUACA